rnacentral:rRNA from 1 species
UACGUAGGGUGCGAGCGUUGCCCGGAUUUAUUGGGCGUAAAGAGCGCGUAGGCGGACUGUUAAGUGAGAGGUGAAAGGUUCAGGGCUCAACCCGAACAGUGCCUUUCAUACUGGCGGUCUUGAGUAUGGGAGAGGCGAGUGGAAUUUCUGGUGUAGCGGUGAAAUGCGUAGAUAUCAGAAGGAACACCCAUGGCGAAGGCAGCUCGCUGGCCUAUAACUGACGCUGAGGCGCGAAAGCGUGGGGAGCAAACAGG